rnacentral:piRNA from 1 species
UGGUCUGAUUUCUCGAAAAAU